rnacentral:tRNA from 1 species
UGUUCUAUAGUUCAGUUGGUGGAACGUUUCAUUAUUAAUGCGAAGGCCGCUGGUUAGAGUUCAGCUAGAGCAU